GGAAUAUUGCGCUAAUGCGGGAAACCGUGACGCAGCGACGCCGCGUGGGGGAUGAAGGCCUUCGGGUCGUAAACCCCUUUCGCCAGGGACGAAACUGACGGUACCUGGAGAAGAAGUCCCGGCCAACUACGUGCCAGCAGCCGCGGUAACACGUAGGGGACGAGCGUUGUCCGGAAUCAUUGGGCGUAAAGCGCGCGUAGGCGGUUCGGAACGUCGGGUGUGAAACCCCGGAGCUCAACUCCGGGACUGCAUCCGAUACGGCCGGACUGGAGGUAGGUAGGGGGGAUCGGAAUUCCUGGUGUAGCGGUGAAAUGCGCAGAUAUCAGGAGGAACACCGGUGGCGAAGGCGGAUCCCUGGGCCUUACCUGACGCUGAGGCGCGAAAGCUGGGGGAGCGAACAGGAUUAGAUACCCUGGUAGUCCCAGCUGUAAACGUUGGGUGCUAGGUGUGGGCGGAUAUCGACCCCGUCCGUGCCGGAGCUAACGCAUUAAGCACCCCGCCUGGGGAGUACGGCCGCAAGGCUAAAACUCAAAGGAAUUGACGGCCCGCG
rnacentral:rRNA from 1 species